UACGAACUGCGCGAACGUUAUUCGGAAUCACUGGGCUUACAGGGUGCGUAGGCGGUCCACCAGGUCAGAUGUGAAAUCCCACAGCUCAACUGUGGAACUGCAUUUGAAACCGGCGGACUUGAGUAAACUAGAGGUAUACGGAACUUCAGGUGGAGCGGUGAAAUGUGUUGAGAUCUGAAGGAACACCAGAGGCGAAAGCGGUAUACUGGAGUUUGUCUGACGCUGAGGCACGAAAGCCAGGGGAGCGAACGGG
rnacentral:misc_RNA from 1 species